rnacentral:rRNA from 1 species
UACAGAGGGUGCGAGCGUUGUCCGGAAUCACUGGGCGUAAAGGGCGCGUAGGCGGUCUCUUAAGCGUGUGGUGAAAGCCCGGGGCUCAACUCCGGGUCGGCCGUGCGAACUGGGGGACUGGAGCUUGUCAGAGGCAGGCGGAAUUCCGGGUGUAGCGGUGGAAUGCGUAGAGAUCCGGAAGAACACCGGUGGCGAAGGCGGCCUGCUGGGACAGUGCUGACGCUGAGGCGCGACAGCGUGGGGAGCAGACAGG